CUCGAUUGGGCGCCCGUGCAGCACGUGAUCCGACUAGGCACGGGGCCGCGCUCCGGAGCGCGCCUGGUGGGCUGGCUGUCAGAGAGCGUAACGCAGGGGCGGGAAUCCCAGCGCUAAAGCGAGUCCCUGGUGCCCCCCCUCCCCCCUCCGGGCUUCUUUGCGGGCUUCACCCAUGCUGGGCUCGCUAGGGAUUUCUUCCAUAAAAAUUACUGAAAACAAAGGGACUUACACAUUAGUGAUGGAGGAAUUCAACAUUUUGCAGGAAAAGAAGGUGAUUUUUUUCUGGCAAGGUACAGCAGAAAAUGCAGUUUAAUCUUCCAAGCAGAUUCAAUCAUCCUUCAUUGGUGAUUUAUCAUACUCUUGCUAUCAGACAUCAGCUGAGUGUGUUCUUUUUGGAGGAGGAAAAGAUUGUUUUCUGAGAAUCAGCUGGCUGUAAAAACUUUA